UUGUGUACUGUCUGGAUACCUGCCUGUGAGCCGGUGAAAUUAGAAAGAAUCAGUCUUCAGCACAAGGGCAGCCACAGGGCGUUCGGGCUCUUUUAAAGUGCUGUGGUCUCGGCACGCGAUGUUAGCCUGUGAGUAGAGCCUUUCACAGUGCUGUUUAUCACAUUUGAUAGUUAUUUCUGAUAAAAUCUGAUUUUAAAGUUCAAAUCUGCUUAUCGAAUCAUACUAACGCAUGGAAAAUUCAUGCUUUCGUUGUCUGCUUUACUUAAAAAUAAGGAAGCUAAUGUAGGACUGAGCAUUUCGUUUAGAUGCUUUCUGAAACCAGGCUUAGUGACCCUGCCUGACACAGCAUCUCAGGAGCUUCUGGGAUCACACUGGACUCUUGCAAAACUUUGGGGAAGAUCUUCGCGCCUUGAGCAAAAGCCUGGUAAGCCUGGUGGGGAUUUCCGGUUUGGCUCCCUGUGAUGUCACAGUAUCCAGACUACAUUUCCCCGAAGUCUGUGCGAAGGAAUUCCUGGAACCCAGAUCUGAACUCUGCUCCAGAAAUGUGACCAGGUACGGCUUCGAGAAAGCAAGACCUGUUUGGAAAAGGAA